GGGGGAGACGCCGGGGGAGGAAGGCAGCCGGGAGAAGGAAAGCUGGGACGGGCCGGGACCACAGGAGCCCCAGCCCCACACAGCAACCACCCGGGCGAGAAAGAAAGAAAGAGCCAGGGAGGCGGGCGAAGCGCGGGGAGAGAAGCAGAGAAGAAAUAUUCACCUUCCCGCCUCAUGCCCACUUUGAGGCACUUCUUGAGGCGGCAGUAUUGGCACUGGUUGCGGUGGUGCUGGUCGAUGGGACAGUUCCUGUUGGCACGGCAUGUGUAAGUUAAGUUCCUGCGGACGCUCCUCUUGAAGAAACUUUUGCAGCCCUCGCAGCAGGUAGAUGAAACUCAAGAGAAAAGGUGUGGAUAAAUGAAACUAGCCCAUGAUGAACCUGUUUUCUCCGUGACCACAAUAUUAACCAGGAUGAAUGGCGGUGGCAGUGGGCCUGCAUCACAGGUUGCAGCAGAUGUUCUCAAUAUUUCUAUUAAAAUUUCCUUAUUUCCAUAUGCAAGAGGAGCCCCAGAGCUGCAUCCUUAUGGUAGCUACCAUGCCGUGAUGUAAGCUGCCAUUCACUGGGGAGCUUUGGCAAUAGAAUUGGCUAGAUCAGGAAGCCUAUGUCAACUAUGGAACAACAACUUGCAGCUCAUCUCUAUUGAUGAUACACUGCCUCUAGGACUGGGACAGAUAGCCACUGAGUACCUGCUUCAAAUCACCCUGCACGUUUUCUCUUUGGAAAGAUAAGCACUGGAGAACCAUCUCGUUACCUUCAGCAGAAAUGGAAACAAAUCAAGACAUUAAGAAUGCCGCAGUGGACAGCAGUUAUGCAAGGUUCAGCAGAGGAAGUUUUCAAGAUGGUGUGCCUCACUAGCCAGAAAUCAGAAAAGAUCGAAGCUAGCCUUUUCAUCUCAGCUGCUCCUUAAAUCAGUGCAACCCCUCCAAAUUAAUGUGAAUUGAAACUUGCAUUGCUUUUCAACUUAAUUGAAUACUUACUAUAUGUGAACCACUGCACAAAAUAGGGGAAGAAGAUGUGGGAGACAAAGAUGUGGAGCCUGUCUUCAAUAAAUUUACAGUUAGUUUCAGGGUACAUUGUUUUUCUUCUGCUGUUAAUUAGGUGUAUCCCCAAGACAAUAAAUACAUGAAUGGAAAAGUAUAUUCUGUGUUUUAAGUCUCUUUAAUAAAAAACAAAACAAAAUCCAAAAAAACUCCUAACAUGGCAACUCAGGACAUUUUAAUCCUUUUUUUUGUUGUUGGGCUUCUGAUAGGAUCCAUUUUAUUGAUUCCAUAAAUAUUUAGUAGACUUUAGACAUAUUAAUACAUUGUAGUUUGAGUUAAUUUGCAUUAAAUUCUGUUUUUUUCCCCUUAGGUAUAGAUUGUCUGUUGGAAAAAUAUAUUGCUUGUGGAUUUCUUGGGGAGUGGGAAGGUGAAUUAUACCUGUUGUCUCUACAGUCCACUACCUUCCACACCCUAGGGCAGUGGUCCCCAACCUUCUUGGCACCAGGGAUCAGUUUCCUGGAAGACAAUUUUUCUGUGGAUGGUGUGGGGAUGGUUUUGGGAUGGAACUGUUCCACCUCAGAUCAUCAGGCAUUAGUUAGGCUCUCAUAACGAGUGCGCAGCCUAGAUCCCUCACAUGCACAGUUCACAGUAGGGUUUGCGCUGCUAUGAGAAUCUAAGGCUGCCACUGAUCUGACAGGAGGCAGAACUCAGGUGGCAAUGCUUACUGGCCCACUGCUCACCUCUUGCUGUGCGGCCUGGUUCCUAAUAGGCCAUGGACCCCCACAGACGGGUACUAGUCUGCAGCCUGUGGACCCCAGCCCUAGGGGCCUGCCAUUCUGAGUGAGUUAUUAGCAUGAAGAAGAGGAAGAUCUGGAUCAAACGUGGGUGAUGGUACUCAGAGACCCAAGAUAGGAUAGGGAUGGAACAAAAUCCAUCUGGGCAACGGCUCUAUGAAAAUUUGGCUAAGUAAUUAUUUCAGUAUUCAUUGUAUUCAUUGUCCUUCGUGUUCCAUAAGUUAAAUGACUGUCUAAUUUUUCCAAAAAUUUAUUUCUGACUUGAGAAUAAGUGUGUCAUGAUUUUCCCAGUGUAAAGACACUGAUAUAACUGUAGAUACCAGACAUUUUAUGUAGUGUCUAUGACACAUUUUAGUAUGUAUGAGCCAACAAUAGACAUGUCUUUGUCUUGAGGAGUGUCCAUCUGAAUUGAAAAUGUGUCAGCUUUUUUUUAACAUCAUCAACAGACUUCUUAAUUAAGCUGCCAAUACAUACUGCCAAUAGCACUGUGUGCUGUCUGAGAAAUGCAUUGUGUAAGUGCUAUUUCCAUCUUAUUAAAUAAACAAUGUUGCUCUGUAUAAACUGGAUUUAAAGUGUUCUUUGAAUGAGGCAUUAUAUUGCUCCAUAAAUAAUGUGAUGUGAAUUCUCAUAUGAUCCCUUUUAACUUAAUUUCUAAAAAAAUAUUAUUUGCUCCUCAGUAAGGAAUAGCUCUAAUUGGACUGGUAACUUUAGUGAUAUGAUUUGUCUGUAACAGGCUGAAUCGCCCCACUCCCAAACUCCUGGUCGUGAUACUGGAUAUUUGUUAUGCCACUUUUAGUUUGCAUGAGGUAUCUUCCAGGAAGUAUUAGUUAUUAACUUGUGUUCUACUAAACUGUAGAUAUUUAUUUCCUGUUCUGGAAGAUUUCUUGGAGUGUCCAUCUGUGCAUUCCUGGUGCCUAGUGUAGUCUUGCUAAUGGAAUAGCACCUUUAUUGGUGCUACUUAGGGGUUGGUAGCUUACAAUCAAUCUACUUGGAACGUAUCCAAAUAAACUGGAU
rnacentral:lncRNA from 1 species